GUGAAUGACUAUAAAUACAUAUAUAUUGGGGUGGGUGUGGGUGUGCGCGCGCAUGUGUAUGCAGACUGAGAUGGAAGUGUAAAAAAAGCAAGACUUAAAGUGGCACAGGGAGCGGGGUACAGAUCCAGCAACUGGGGGGCUAAUUGUCCGGAUGUCCUCGGAUACAGGAUGCUGGGCUCGGAGGUGGUCAGACCCAGCUAUGCACAAAUUGGGGGCGGGUAGGAUAAGACACCCCCACCCCCAUCCCUGCCAAAAAAGGCCAAAUUUGGGGGCGGCCUCUGCCCAUUGCAUGGCCAGGGAAAACUGAGUCUUGUUAUUGCUGUGGCUUUUCUGCAUGUUUGCAGGAGUCUUGCUGGGGGCUCCUUGGAAAUCUAUCUCUGACAGGCAGCAGCAAGAGACUGAACUGUCCCUUUUUUAAAUAGAAAAGAAAAAGGAAAGCUACUUCUUUCUCUCCCUCCACCGCCCCAUUUCCAUCCUCCCUUUCCUGCCUCCAUCCUUUCAAGGCAGCCAUUUCCCCCCCACCCUUUUUUUCUUAGGUAGAAUUCCUCUCCAGAAGAGACCUACAUACUACACCCAUGGCUUUUGAAAAAGGAAAGAAGGCACUUUGAUUUAUUUAUUUUUAAUUAAAAAAAUUCCCUUGUCACUGUGAAAACAUCUGUGAAAGAGCAGUUGAAUAUCUGAGUAUGCAUUCUUCUUCUUUUUAGGGG